AACGAACGCUGGCGGCAGGCCUAACACAUGCAAGUCGAGCGAACCCUUCGGGGUUAGCGGCGGACGGGUGAGUAACGCGUGGGAACGUGCCCUUUGCUACGGAAUAGCCCUGGGAAACUGGGAGUAAUACCGUAUGUGCCCUACGGGGGAAAGAUUUAUCGGCAAAGGAUCGGCCCGCGUUGGAUUAGGUAGUUGGUGGGGUAAUGGCCUACCAAGCCGACGAUCCAUAGCUGGUUUGAGAGGAUGAUCAGCCACACUGGGACUGAGACACGGCCCAGACUCCUACGGGAGGCAGCAGUGGGGAAUCUUAGACAAUGGGCGCAAGCCUGAUCUAGCCAUGCCGCGUGAGCGAUGAAGGCCUUAGGGUUGUAAAGCUCUUUCGCCUGGGAAGAUAAUGACGGUACCAGGUAAAGAAGCCCCGGCUAACUCCGUGCCAGCCGCCGCGGUAAGAC
rnacentral:rRNA from 1 species